rnacentral:lncRNA from 1 species
GGAGAGUGCUAUAGGAAUUCUGCCAUGCCUCUCCUAAAGGGAAGACGACAAAAAUGUGAAAAAGGAUGUCUAUGAGAAUGAAUAUUUUCAUGGUAAAAGCUACAAGUGAAGUUAUCAAAGAAGUCUGUCAAAUGCCAUUUGGACUACCUUGAGAGCAGCACCUCUUGGCACUUAGACCUGUCUCCAGAGAGUCAAAUGUUGAUCUACAGGACAGAUCCCGCAAGCCCGAUGUCAGCGUGCUGUCACACCUGGGAAAGCUACCUUGGAUUCAGGACAGGAAGUGUGGAGAAGGUGCAGGAGCCAGGGUCCUUCCAGUGAGGAUGUACGCGGUGCGGUUCCCUAGCCUGCGACGGUCCUGCCCUCCCCGCGUGCACCCGUCAGCCUGUGCGCCUCCUUCAUUCAGCUCAAGUGCCUAACUAGAGGCACAGCAAGAGAUAAAUACAGACUUCUCAGUUGCUUCCAAAAUCUCAGGUAUUCACCUGGACCAACGAGAGUAAUUCUGUAUUGGGGGAAAUAAUUUUCUCAGCAGGCUCAUGCAGCUACAUACCCAGAAGGUGCUAGAGAUUGGUUAAAACCGUGGAUUUAGAGUCGCUCAGACGUGAGUUAAAAUCCUG